rnacentral:tRNA from 1 species
AGUAGAGUCAGCUAAUAAAGCUCCUGGGCCCAUACCCCAACUAUGAAGGUUAGAUUCCUUCCUUUGCUU